UCUCAUCUCAUUCUUAUCCGCCCCUCCAUCUGCUCUCUCUCUGGAUUCAGAUCUAGGGUUUUGAUUUCAGAGGUAAAGAUUGAAUCAUGAAGAUUUCUCCCAGAUCCGAUUUUGGUCUCGCAGAUCUGAUGUACCUCAGCUUCUGGACAUCAUCUUUACCAAGGUAGUUAGUUAUUAAAUGUUCAUAUGGCUGGCUGGCUGGCAUUUCAAGUAAUCAUCCACAAUUUGUGUGAAUCAUGAAGAUUUCUCCCAGAUCCGAUUUUGGUCUCGUAGAUCUGAUCUGAGAUCUGAGAUAAUCUCACCAGUGCAUGGAUCAGUACACAUUUGGAAAGCCCGAGCAUUAAAAACCUGCAAUUGCAAAGCUUGAGAUGUAUUAGCUUUUGGAAAGCUUGAGAUGUAUUCCUUUUUCUUAAACCUAUACAGUCAAGACAAAUAUUGAAGACAGUUUCAAGUUUGGCUUUAUUGCUGCUGAUAAAAGAAAAAUAACUGCUACAACUUGGGUACCCAUACUGGCAAUUAGAAUUACGUCGUGGUCACAUACGAAAGGUUAAAAGGAUAGGUAAAAAAGUAAGAAUGGUUGACUUUGAUUAGUGAAACUGAGCCAUUUCAACUCACUAGACCUUGAAGUUGAACCCAACUAUAUUAUUAAUCUUGUUUUUUGAGUAAAUAUGUUGGAGAGGAACAAGAGAGAGGAAGCUUGGAGAGGCUGGUUUGAAUCUAAUGGGCAAAACAUCUACUUUUAGCAUACAAUGGAGGAUUCUGAUGUUCUUAUGAUUUGGCUUCGUGUGAGCAAUGGUGGUUGCUUCGGAAUCAUGAAAAGGCAGCAAGCCUGCAUCAAGUGGAUGCAUGUUUCUCUACAAGUGAAGUAAAGACUUGCAGCAGUUACUGAAUACUGCAAGUCCUUUUCUUGUGAUCUCAGGCAACGGCUGACAUCUUAGUAGUGGUUUUAUGUGCUUCAAUACUAUUUGGUGUCGCUCUAACCUGGCCCGACCCGUUUUAACUUUUGGAGGUAUGAUUAAACCUCAGAUUACUUUCAUCUUUUGUUUUUAAUAAACACAGAAGACCUGCCCUUUUGUGACUUUUAGAAAGUCAAACCUGGUAAUUCUCGUAAACUUGAUACACAUAGAGUAGUUUUGUAAUCUUAAUUAUUUCUAUCCUAAUAUAGUGGUUCGUAAUUACCAUAUAUAUGUAUAACAGAUGAGUUAUUUAAUAUCAAUUUUGAUUA
rnacentral:lncRNA from 1 species